GAUGAACGCUGGCGGCGUGCCUAAUACAUGCAAGUCGAGCGAACAGACGAGGAGCUUGCUCCUCUGACGUUAGCGGCGGACGGGUGAGUAACACGUGGAUAACCUACCUAUAAGACUGGGAUAACUUCGGGAAACCGGAGCUAAUACCGGAUAAUAUAUUGAACCGCAUGGUUCAAUAGUGAAAGACGGUUUUGCUGUCACUUAUAGAUGGAUCCGCGCCGCAUUAGCUAGUUGGUAAGGUAACGGCUUACCAAGGCAACGAUGCGUAGCCGACCUGAGAGGGUGAUCGGCCACACUGGAACUGAGACACGGUCCAGAUUCCUACGGGAGGCAGCAGUAGGGAAUCUCCCGCAAUGGGCGAAAGCCUGACGGAGCAACGCCGCGUGAGUGAUGAAGGUCUUCGGAUCGUAAAACUCUGUUAUUAGGGAAGAACAAAUGUGUAAGUAACUAUGCACGUCUUGACGGUACCUAAUCAGAAAGCCACGGCUAACUACGUG
rnacentral:rRNA from 1 species